AUGAGAUCCAUUAGGUCAUCCCCCCUAUUCUCCUAUUAGAACAAGACCGUUUUCUCCAAUGAAAAGGGAAGAGUCAGUGAGCUGAGCAAAAGCGUGAAGACAGAGGAAAUGGCAGUGGAGAGUGACAGAGUAACAGAAGGUUCAUAGAAAGGGUUGUCAGAAUGAGUGUGUGGCUGGAGGAUGUGCAGGGGAAGCCACAAAGCAUGUGACUGAAUCUUUCAAGUCUUCUGCAGACAGACCCAACCUUCCUGGGCUCCAAGCCAGUGGGAUGUGAGCCCAUGGCAGACUGGAAGCUACAUAGGCAGGUUAGUGCAGUGCUGUGCUCGAACUAAUAAUCCCUGUUGAGAUCUUGGACUUGCUAGACUGAAUAUAAACUAUGCUAAUAUGUUUGCA
rnacentral:lncRNA from 1 species